GGUCGGGCUUGUGGCCACCUCUCAUUUCCGUUUUGGUAGACUGUGAAAUGUCAUGGACAAAGGUCUGUAACUCUUCAGUCACUCCAGAGAAUGGGUAGAAGGUUCUUUGAGAUUGUCCAUCAGAUGUAUGAAACAAAAUCACAUAUCCAUGGCGCCCAUUGUCAGACCCACGCUCAAUCUGAAGUGUCCCUUUUGUCCCAUCAACUCGCCAAUAUAUCU
rnacentral:misc_RNA from 1 species